rnacentral:lncRNA from 1 species
GCCCCCAGCACCCUGGUCAAAUAGGGCACUAGCCCUAGCACCCUGGUCAAGUAGGGCACUGCCCCCAGCACCCUGGUCAAAGUAGGGCACUAGCCCCCAGCACCCUGGUCAAAGUAGGGCACUAGCCCCUGGUCAAAGUAGUGCACUAGCACCAGCACCCCUGGUCAAAGUAGUGCACUAGCACCCAGCACCCUGGUCAAAUAGGGCACUAGCCCCCAGCACCCUGGUCAAAGUAGGGCCCUAGCCCCCAGCACCCUGGUCAAAGUAGCACUAGCCCCAGCACCCUGGUCAAAGUAGGGCACUAGCCCCAGCACCCUGGUCAAAGUAGGCAUAGCCCCCAGCACCCCUGGUCAAAGUAGGGCACUAGCCCCCCCAGCACCCGUCACAAAGUAGUGCACUAGCUCCCAGCACCCUGGUCAAAGUAGGGCACUAGCCCCCAGCACCCUGUGUCAAAAGGGGCACUAUCAAAGUAGUGGUACUAGCCCCCGGCUCAAAGUAGUGCACUAGCCCCAGCACCCUGGUCAAAGUAGGGCACUAGCCCCAGCACCCUGGUCAAAGUAGGCGCUAUGCCCCAG